UGAAAUGUUGUAAAUUAGGUAGUAAGAAAUUAUUUGAAACCUAAAGAAUUUGGCGGUGUUUAAAAUAAUUGGAGGAACCUGUUGAGUAGUUGAUAAUCCACAAUGUAUCUUACCUUGUUUUUGUUUGUAUAUCGUCGUUACUGAAAUUAUGUUAAAAGAUUAUGAUUUUGAUAAAUUUGAUUUAGUAAUUCAGAUCAUGGUGCAGCAUAAUGGGGGUUUAAUGGGUUACAAUAUUAUUUAAAUAUUACGGAUAAAAGUUGAAAGUUAAUUUAAAGGAGGAUUCAAAAGUAAUUUGAAAUUAAUAUGUUUUUUUGAAUAAUGACCUUGGACAUGC
rnacentral:rRNA from 1 species